rnacentral:rRNA from 1 species
GAUGAACGCUGACAGAAUGCUUAACACAUGCAAGUCCACUUGAACUUCGGUUUGGGUGGCGGACGGGUGAGUAACGCGUAAAGAACUUGCCUCACAGUUAGGGACAACAUUUGGAAACGAAUGCUAAUACCUGAUAUUAUGAUUUUAGGGCAUCCUAGAAUUAUGAAAGCUAUAUGCGCUGUGAGAGAGCUUUGCGUCCCAUUAGCUAGUUGGAGAGGUAACGGCUCACCAAGGCGAUGAUGGGUAGCCGGCCUGAGAGGGUGAACGGCCACAAGGGGACUGAGACACGGCCCUUACGCCUACGGGAGGCAGCAGUGGGGAAUAUUGGACAAUGGACCAAGAGUCUGAUCCAGCAAUUCUGUGUGCACGAUGAAGUUUUUCGGAAUGUAAAGUGCUUUCAGUUGGGAAGAAAAAAAUGACGAUACCAACAGAAGAAGUGACGGCUAAAUACGUG